rnacentral:lncRNA from 1 species
AUGUAGGACGCGGGAAGCUCCUUCUUCUCCUCCUCGCCCUGGAAGAAGUCCUCCUCGCUCUUCUUGGAGCGGACCUUGGCGGGCUUCUUGAAGUACGCGUCGUUGAACUUGGCGGUGUCCACGCCGGCGACGUCAACCUUCUGGGAGGUGGCGAUGACGUAGCACUGGUUCACCCUCUUGAUCGGCACGCCGUUGACGCCGUAAGGGCCGCACACCAGGAGGAGCCCGGACUCGAGCUGCCUGAGGAAGACGACGCGCUUGCCCUUGAAGUGGCCGGCGAGGAGGAUGAGAAUGGUGCCGGGGGUGAUGGAGGCGCGAAGCUUGGUGGGGUUCUUCGCGACCGCCGCGCGCUUGAGCGGGAACUUGACGUCCUCGGCGGGGUAGAAUCCCGGGGUCUUGGACGCCUUCUUGGGCGCGGUCUGGCCCUUGU